GAAAUUAUUGAUGAAUGUUUGACAGCUUGUAAGAGUGUUAUCACCGUAUAUGAGGAUCCUUGUGAAAGGCUUAGAAGAAUAUUCUGGAAUAUAGUUAUGGCAGUGUUGAGUGAACCUUCUGCAAAGGGUCCAAGAACUCUGAGCCUAUGAACUUGCACUGGGUGAGAAGAUGUACUUCGUCAUUGUGGUGAUCCAGGUACUACCUCUCAGAUCCUACUGGUGAAUUCUUUUUGUUGAACUAUGAAGGCCAUCAUAUCUGGUCCAGAUCC